rnacentral:rRNA from 1 species
AAAAUACGGGAGGCAGCAGUGGGGAAUAUUGCACAAUGGGGGGAACCCUGAUGCAGCAACGCCGCGUGAAGGAAGAAGGCCUUCGGGUUGUAAACUUCUGUCCUAGGGGAAGAAACAAAUGACAUUACCCUUGGAGGAAGCCCCGGCUAACUACGUGCCAGCAGCCGCGGUAAUUUUU